CUAAGCCUUCUGUUCUUUCCCUGGUAUCCAGGAUCCCAGGCCGCCAUGGAGGAGUACGCCCGGGAGCCCUGCCCGUGGCGAAUCGUCGAUGACUGCGGUGGAGCCUUCACCAUGGGGGUCAUCGGUGGCGGAGUCUUCCAGGUCAUCAAGGGCUUCCGAAAUGCCCCUGUUGGAAUUCGGCACCGAUUGAGGGGUAGUGUCAAUGCUGUGAGGAUCCGAGCCCCCCAGAUUGGAGGCAGCUUCGCGAUGUGGGGCGGUCUGUUCUCCACCACUGACUGCGGCCUGGUGUGGCUGCGGGGCAAGGAAGACCCCUGGAACUCCAUCACCAGCGGAGCGCUGACCGGGGCUGUGCUGGCUGCCCGCAGUGGCCCACUGGCCAUGGUGGGCUCAGCAAUGAUGGGGGGCAUCCUGUUGGCC